GAUGAACGCUGGCGGCGUGCCUAAUACAUGCAAGUCGAGCGAACAGACGAGGAGCUUGCUCCUCUGACGUUAGCGGCGGACGGGUGAGUAACACGUGGAUAACCUACCUAUAAGACUGGGAUAACUUCGGGAAACCGGAGCUAAUACCGGAUAAUAUAUUGAACCGCAUGGUUCAAUAGUUAAAGACGGUUUUGCUGUCACUUAUAGAUGGAUCCGCGCCGCAUUAGCUAGUUGGUAAGGUAACGGCUUACCAAGGCAACGAUGCGUAGCCGACCUGAGAGGGUGAUCGGCCACACUGGAACUGAGACACGGUCCAGACUCCUACGGGAGGCAGCAGUAGGGAAUCUUUCGCAAUGGGCGAAAGCUUGACGGAGCAACGCCGCGUGAGUGAUGAAGGUCUUCGGAUCGUAAAACUCUGUUAUUAGGGAAGAACAAAUGUGUAAGUAACUAUGCACGUCUUGACGGUACCUAAUCAGAAAGCCACGGCUAACUACGUG
rnacentral:rRNA from 1 species